CCUCUUCUUCUUCUUCUUUUUGAUCCGUUGAUUCCUUGUCAAUGCCGUCCUCAGCUCAACCUCUAACCCUAACCCAGACUGUAGCCCUCGUACUCACACUCUCCCCUUCACUCUUCACCUUACGACCUCCAUCCCCUUCCCCAUCUCCAUCUCCAUCCCCAUAUCGUCCUCCUUCUCCCAAGAUCUCCAAGUCCGACCCCACUGAUCUCCGCCUAUUCCCACUCUUAAACCCUGCUCUUCCUACCCUUCCAACCGCUAUGGCCACCACGUCUAUCCUCGCCGCCCUGCAACUCCUUCGCUUAGAGAAAAGCAGCACAAUUUUAGAGAGAAGCUCGGGUUGUUGUUCUCUGGUGUUAUUAUCCUUUUGCAGUUCGGCUUCGCUCGGUUCUUGAUCUUUAAAAAGCUGUAAUUGAGGAAGCUGGAUGAUGAAGUGGCCUUGAGGCGUCAGUAGGAGAGAACAACUUUGGGAGUUUCCUCCUUUUGAUUCUUGGUGUAUUGAUUUGUUGAUGUUUAAUUGAGCAAAGUUGAUUCUUUGAUGCUCGUUGUUUGAUGUUCUUCAGGUUUUUGAUCAGUGCUUUUUCGAUGGGCCAUGCCUUCAAGAUGCAUUUACCUACGGGCUGACGAGAGUCUGAGCAAGGCCAUUGGCAUAUCCCUGUUUCAUCAAAACAAAGAAUGUAGGGAUCAGAGAUAUCCUGGUUAUGUGUGAUGAGGGACACGACAACACCAAAAUCAUCUUCACAGAAAGGAUGAGGUCGAAGUUGAGGGACGAGUACUGAGGAAAGGAAGAAGGGUGACAGUAACUGAAGUCGACUUCAGUUAUAAGUGAACAGAAGUUUUUCUAAUUCUGAGCUUGUGGAGCAGGCAUCUCAAACACAAGAAAGACAUGACGAGCUUCCUAUUGUGGAUGAAAUAGCUCUAUGCAAUAAGGCUGUUGGGGGAGGAAAGAAAGAUCGGGUUUAUGGAAUAGGGUCCCAAUCGUGUAUCUUUUUAUUCACAGUUAUCUUCAAGUUUUUCUACAGAUUCAUCAUUUGAGACUCUACAGGUUGAGGUUAGAGAUUUGUGUCAAACUCUUACUCAAGUCCAAGAUUGUGAGGAGAGGUUUCAAUAAACUCUUAGUCAAGUCCAAGAACAUGAGGAAAGGCUUCAACAAAGUUUGCUUGAAAUGAAAGAGGAGUGGGACCAAUAUCGUGAGGAGAUGAUGCAUCAAAUGAAGGACAUGAUGAUGAGUUUUGAGAAAAGGAUUAUUUAGUAGUUGCAGUUUAUCACACAAGACUCAAUUAUUGACUGAUGAUCAUGAUGUUGACUUAUAGUUGUAUUUGUCAUAUACUUAUUAUUGUGUUGAACAUAUGCACUUAAACAUUUCUUUUUGUAUGAA